rnacentral:rRNA from 1 species
AGCAGUAGCCACGGUAAUACGGAGGGUGCAAGCGUUAAUCGGAAUUACUGGGCGUAAAGCGUGCGUAGGCGGCUUUUUAAGUCGGAUGUGAAAUCCCUGAGCUUAACUUAGGAAUUGCAUUCGAUACUGGGAAGCUAGAGUAUGGGAGAGGAUGGUAGAAUUCCAGGUGUAGCGGUGAAAUGCGUAGAGAUCUGGAGGAAUACCGAUGGCGAAGGCAGCCAUCUGGCCUAAUACUGACGCUGAGGUACGAAAGCAUGGGGAGCAAACAGGAUUAGAUACCCGUGUAGUCCCUGUCUCUUAUAU